CCAAGGAAAUGCUUUGCUAUAGGUAGAUAGGUAUAAGGCAGACACCUCCAUCAGGGUAUAAAAUGAUUCACCAGAGGAAGGGUUUUGUCUAGCUUUGGUACACUAAAGCAGCUAUAAUAGCAACAGGGGGACAAAAUUGAGUUAAAAUUACAAUAAGUAGCAUUGAACAUAAUAGAGUCCUGGAAUACGAGCAAUUUUUGGCCUUGGUAGGUGGCCAGGUGACUUUAAGCCAGCAGGAAUUUCCUUUUUAUCAGUGAAAUUAAAGAGUGUAAAGAUAACAGUCCGAGAUCUGGACUGUCAUGUCUGGAGUGGUUGUCCCAACUGCACAUCCAUUCAAUGGCAUAUGAGUAGCUUGUUGUUUCUAGGAACAGAAGUUUAGAUGGCAAGAGAAAGUUGAGCAAGUGUCUCCCUUUUAGGGAUUCUGAUAAACUCAUGACCCACAAGAUAAUUCUCCUGCUGCCAUUCUUAGUUCAGGAAAAAGAGAAGAGGCAUAUUACAUGAUGACUUGUAUAAUACUGUUAAUUAAAAUUGUCACUAGAAAACGUUAAAUAUUAAACUAAGAUAUAAUGCAGGCUCCUUCAGGUGCUGACUAUACAUUGUACAACGUUAUUAUUUUUAGCAUUUAUUUAUAUAGUAUCAACAAUUUAUGCAGCGCUUUGAUACAGAGCAUAAGAAGGGACGUUACAGACAAAAGUAGACAAACAUGAGGUAGAGGGUCCUGCCUGUAAGCCUACAAUCUAGAGGCAAUGGGGGGGGCAUAAGAGUAAGUGAGGUGAUUGAAGAGGAGAAAAUAAAAACAAAUUGUGGAUAGAAGGGAGGUUACCAAGUGGUUAAUUGCAAGGUUAAAUCACAUCAUGUGAUGAAUUAGACAUAUAUAACAUUGAUCCGGGGUUGUGAGUUGUGGGAGGACAUUAAACAGUCUGAGUUGAGUUGCUAGGGCAGGGGUGUCCAAGUUUUUUUUGCAGUGGGCCACUUCAUCAUAAUUGUGUACGUGCGCGGGCCGCACUCAUUUUUCACUGUGAGAAAAUAUGGCCUUUAAUAAAAUAUGCAGAUUAAAAUAAAGUAAAUGACGCAAAA